rfam:Asian citrus Psyllid, Diaphorina citri - Florida Strain, whole genome shotgun sequence.
GCCUCGGUGGCGUAGUGGUCAAUACGCUCGCCUGGUAAACAGGAGGGCGUGGGUUCGAACUCAGCCGAGGCA